GCGGGCGUAGUUCAAUGGUAGAACUCCAGCCUUCCAAGCUGGCCAUGCGGGUUCGAUUCCCGUCGCCCGCUCCA
rnacentral:tRNA from 3 species